AGUUGUACUUGCAUCUGUGAAGUGGGGAAACUGUACUGACUUCAUUGGCUCAAAGUCUGCAGGUUUUUAGCACCAGCGAUUGAGAGAGAUUUAAGUUCCAGUAUAUCCGUUCUCCAUCUUUCCCAUCUUACUCAAAGAUCAUCUGGAAGCGGAUCGUCGUCCUGUUUGCAUCGCUUGGCCCACAUGAUGUUCUUUGAUGAUGUCAUCAUGGGAUGCUACUUGUUCCAAGAUUCUGUUAACAUUUCCAUGGUUUCCUAUUCCAGAAUGUUCAUCAUGACCAUGUUGGUCUAGUGUUUGAGUACAUGUCAACAAACUGACUUGCCCAAGUGUUUUUAUGUCGUGUAGAUAUUUCAUGCAGUCCUUUGCCUUCAGGGAGAACCUGGCUUCAUACAGCUUGUCCCUUUUCCGUCUGUUUAUGAAACGGACAACCACUUGUCGGCUCUUAACCCUAUCUCUCUUUUCCCAAGGCGGUGACACAAUGAUAUGUCAUCAGGGCAUAUCUCAACACCAACUUCCCUGCCUACCUUGGCAACACUUUCUAGGAUCUGUUCCUUUGUCUCCUCUGCCUCCGGGAUCUCAGCGAGCUGAAGGUUAUCCCGUCGUAGGUCUUGGUGAAUCUCAUCUUUCUGGAAUUGAAUUCGCAUGCAGAUGUGGAUUGAUGUUCUCCUUAAUUGUAUUUAGACAGGCCUCCUUUACCACUUGCAGUAUUUGUGGUAGUGCUGCUUUAAGCGCUGUGUCCACAGUCUUGUCUAUUAUCCGUGAGAUCUGGCCACCUACUACCCCACCCUCACUAAGCUCCCCACACAGCUCAUCGAGAUUGAACUGACACAGUGCGAGACAUAUUAUGGUCUUCCUCUGUUGCUAUCCCCCUCUUCUGCUCAACUGCUCUGUCAAUUCCUGGGUGGGCAAUAAAAAGGUUUAGCUUUCAUUUUCUUGCCAUUAGUUUUUUUUGUUUAAAUCUUGGAUUUUUCGCCGAUAUACUUCUUCAUCCUUCCUAGUUCCUGAGCUCUUUUGUCCUCAGACAGGUUUUUUUUUUAUUCCAGCCUUUCCUUGAAACAUUCUGUACAAUAGAACAUAACAGAUGCAGGAUAUAUAUUUUACAAUGCAUCAAGUUCAAAUUACAUAUAACCUUUGCACUGAUUGGACGUACUCUCCUAAGUCCAACCACAUGGCCAAGGAAGGACACCUGCGCAUGAGCAUAGUCUGACUUUUUCAGAUUUACAGUUAGGUUUGCCUUGGAGAUACGAUCAAAGAGAGACUUCAGACACGUUGCAGAUGCUCUUCCCAUGUGUGCUAUACACCACUAUGUCAUCAAGCUGUUUGUACAUUUCGUCAAAUUUUCCAAUAAUGAAGUCAAUUUAAGUGAUAGCCUCGCUCUGUUUAUCCUUCAUUGAGGCUAGCUCUGCUCCGAAAUCUGUCAGCUUGCCCAUCACGUCGGCCAGUGUAUACCCCUGGGGCACUUCCUGGGCCUGCCACAGCUUUGCUUCCCCUCUUUCCAGGCAUCAUGACUGAGAUUAAUGUACAGCACACAAUAAAGUGGGUUGUACUAGAAGAAGUAAUGAGGCGACUUGGUUAUAUAGAUGUGAAGACAGCAAAAACAAGAGUACAUGGGACUAUGUAUUAACACUAACUGUCCGUGAUGGCAAAUUUAGCAGCACAAAUUACUCUUAAAACUAGGCAGAAUAGACAGUGUUGAUAUGUGUUUCUCACCACAUCCAGGUUUCCACAAAGAAUAUGAACUGUAUAAAAUAUCAAAAUUAUAACACUUUCCAUGAUCAGAAAAGACAAAUUUAAGAGACCAAUCUGAGUCCAGUUAUGUCCAGUGUUAACAAGCGAGGUUCAUCUAGUCUCAUCUUGCUGUUUGGACUUAUGUGAUUGUCAUUGACUAAUCGUCCAAGAAUACCAUCAUCAUUUGAUGCAUCAAUACAGAUAAGUUUUCCUUUGCCAGGAUAUUGCACUGUGUUUGCCUCCUUUGACAGGAACGUGGUUCGAUAGUCUCCAUAUUUCACUAGCUUCAAUAGUCACUGAAUGCUGUAGCAUAGUAUGCUUAACUUAUUUUGAAACACUCAUUUGCACCUUUCAAAAAGGGAAGUAUUCUACUCAUGUGUCUUGGGCAAAAAGA
rnacentral:lncRNA from 1 species